rnacentral:tRNA from 1 species
GGGAUUGUGGCUCAGUGGCAGAGCACUUGCCUUGUAAGUAUGAGGCACUGGAUUUGAGCCUCAGCACCA